GAUGAAGAACGUAGCGAAACGCGAUACGUAAUGUGAAUUGCAGAAUUCAGUGAAUCAUCGAAUCUUUGAACGCACCUUGCGCCCCUCGGCAUUCCGAGGGGCAUGCCUGUUUGAGUGUCACGGAUCCUUCGAACCCCGCCGGUCUCCGACGAGCCGGCCGCCUGGGUUCGGUCCUGGGCGCUACGCCACCCCUCCGGGGCUGGCCCGCCUCCAAAGCAUCAGCGGGGCCUCGCGGCGUGGGCGGGCUCCGAUCGGCGUGAUAAGUCAUCUGCCGAGAGGGUGCCCGUCCGUCCCGCGGAUCGCGGUCCGCUCCCAACCCCUCCCCGCGCGCCGUCCCCCCCCGGGGAGCGCGCGGGGACGUUUCGACGCUCUGGCCUCAAAUCAGGUAGGACCACCCGCUGAACUUAAGCAUAUCAAUAAGCGGAGGA
rnacentral:misc_RNA from 1 species